rnacentral:rRNA from 1 species
UAACGCGUGAGGAACCUGCCUUCCAGAGGGGGACAACAGUUGGAAACGACUGCUAAUACCGCAUGACACAUUUGAAUCGCAUGGUUUGAAUGUCAAAGAUUUAUCGCUGGAAGAUGGCCUCGCGUCUGAUUAGCUAGUUGGUAGGGUAACGGCCUACCAAGGCGACGAUCAGUAGCCGGACUGAGAGGUUGACCGGCCACAUUGGGACUGAGAGGUACGGCCCAGACUCCUACGGAAGGCAGCAG